rnacentral:rRNA from 1 species
AUUGAACGCUGGCGGCAGGCCUAACACAUGCAAGUCGAACGAGUGGCGGACGGGUGAGUAAGGUGUGGGAAACUGGCCGAUGGAGGGGGAUAAAUACUGGAAAAGGGAGGUAAUACCGGAUACCACCGGAUGUGCCGAGGGAGGAUUAGCUGGUAGGUGGGGUAACGGCUCACCUAGGCGACGAGCCCUAGCUGGUCUGAGAGGAUGACAAGCACACCUGGACCUGAGACACGUCCCAGCCGCCUACGGGAGGCAGCAGUGGGGAAUAUUGCACAAUGGGGGCAAGCCUGCUGCAGCCAUGCCGCGUGUAUGAAUAAGGCUUUCGGGUUGUAAAGUACUUUCAGCGAGGAGGCGUUACUCGCAGAAGAAGCACCGGCUAACUCCGUGCCAGCAGCCGCGGUAAUAC